rnacentral:misc_RNA from 1 species
GAUGAAGAACGUAGCGAAAUGCGAUAAGUAAUGCGAAUUGCAGAAUUUCCGUGAGUCAUCGAAUCUUUGAACGCACAUUGCGCCCACUGGUAUUCCGGUGGGCAUGCCUGUUCGAGCGUCAUUAUCCUCCCUCAAACCUCGGGUUUGGUGUUGGACCCAAGUUGUGUGAACAACUGGUCUUAAAGACAAUGACGGCGUCCGUGGGACCCUCGGUGCAACGAGCUUUUAGGAGCACGCGUCGAGUUUCAAGGACCUUCCGGGCCGGUCUCCUUUACCAUUUUACAAGGUUGACCUCGGAUCAGGUAGGAAUACCCGCUGAAUUUAAGCAUAUCAAUAAGCGGAGGA